AGUGAACGCUGGCGGUAGGCCUAACACAUGCAAGUCGAACGGCAGCACAGUAAGAGCUUGCUCUUACGGGUGGCGAGUGGCGGACGGGUGAGGAAUACAUCGGAAUCUACUUUUUCGUGGGGGAUAACGUAGGGAAACUUACGCUAAUACCGCAUACGACCUACGGGUGAAAGCAGGGGAUCUUUGGACCUUGCGCGAUUGAAUGAGCCGAUGUCGGAUUAGCUAGUUGGCGGGGUAAAGGCCCACCAAGGCGACGAUCCGUAGCUGGUCUGAGAGGAUGAUCGGCCACACUGGAACUGAGACACGGUCCAGACUCCUACGGGAGGCAGCAGUGGGGAAUAUUGGACAAUGGGCGCAAGCCUGAUCCAGCCAUACCGCGUGGGUGAAGAAGGCCUUCGGGUUGUAAAGCCCUUUUGUUGGGAAAGAAAAGCAGCAGGUUAAUACCCCGCUGUUCUGACGGUACCCAAAGAAUAAGCACCGGCUAACUUCGUG
rnacentral:rRNA from 1 species